rnacentral:lncRNA from 1 species
UGUGUGUGUGUGUGUGUGUGUGUGUGUGUGUUUGUGUGUGUAUAUAUGUGUGUGAGAGAGAGCCUGUUAGUGUAGCUGUGCGCGCACUCGCUCCCUCCCUUCCUGCUUGGCUCGCUCGCUCGCUCUCUCGUUCCCUCGCCUGCCAGCCGCCUGGUUCAGACUCGCUCUCGGUCUCAGGGCGGGAGGAUCCGGGGAGAGCAGCCCCGGGAGCUCGGCGGCUCCACAGCGGCUGCCGUCUGAGCAUUGUGCGGCUGCGGCGGCGGCGGCCACUUCGGUUCCGAUUCCCACCUGCUGGCGGCCCAGGGAGGAAGAGGAGGAAGGGGAAGAAGGAGCCGCAGCAGCAGGAGGAAACCCGCUCCUUCCUCCGGCGCACACCUACCUCCCCGCAGGGCUUUGCAAUCUUCUGCCCCCCCUCCUUCUCCCUGGCCCCGGGUGGCCUCGUGGAAGGCGUGCAAGCCCCCCGCCCCCUCCCAGCCCUCUCCGGCCCAAGGCUGCCGCUGCUGCAGCCCCUCCUGCCCGCUGACCGUGACUGCCGCCGCCGAGGGAGCGAGGCGGAGAGAGAAGGACCCGGGCAGGCACCGGCGCCUACUGCAAUGUGCCGGGGAGCCGCCGCCUCCUGGCCCCAGCCCCUCUGAGCCAGCCUCGGGGGAGUGGAGGAAGAGGACAAGCGGAACGAGGCAGCUGCGAACCGCAGAGACAGAGAGAGGAGAGGAGAGCGCGAUCGGGAGAGACAGAGGGAGCAAGAAAGCCGGGAGAGAGCGCGGGCGAAGAGAGGAGGAGGAGCAGCGGCAGGAGCAGGGCGCACCAUGCCGGGCUGGAAGAAGAACAUCCCCAUCUGUUUGCAAGCCGAGGAGCAGGAGAAAGUAUGGUGCCUGGUGGUUUUGGAGUUUGAUAAUCAACAGUCACACGACAGAGACAAAGAAUAAAAUAAUCCCUAUUUGCAAAGACCUUACUUUCUACUGGGGAAGACAUACAGGUACAUUUAUAAAUAUGUUUUGAUAUUAUCUUUCAGUCAUUUUCAGUUGUGUCCAACUCUUCA